UCGCGCAUAAACAACUCCUCCUGGAUCUCAGUAGAGUAAAACACUGCGAUCUCAAAAUUCCCGCGUACGACGCCAUAGAAGGAGAAAGCAAACGUUUCGUCGUUGUUUUUUGUCUGCUGCAUUUACAUUGCUAUUACACACACUGCCACCUAGCGUCAGUGAGAUCACUGGUCGAGUUUGUAAUUGUUACACAGUUUGAAACAAAUCCAAGUUUUAUUGUUAACACUCCGUUAGCCUCGUGUUGUAUAUUUUUGAACGAAAAACGGGCAGUUAUAUCGUCAUUUUCUAUGUAAUAGGAAUUAAUUUUGUAGAUACCAAGACAACAAAUCUUUGAAUAUCCACAUGUUUAAGGAGCAUGAGGAGGAGCUGAAGCUCUUCUGUCGGGAGGACCAGAUCGCUGUGUGUUGUCUGUGCAUUGCAGUUGCACACAAAAACCAUCGAGCUGUAACGCUGCAAGAUGCAUGCACAGAAUUCAAGGUCUCAGAGCAAUAAGUUUAGACCGAGAAACUGCACACCUUGGAGGUGUCAGCAGAAAAGCUGGAGGUAUACUGGAGUAAGAAUCCAACCCAAGAGAGGAAACAGAAAACAAACAUCAGCUCUCAGUACAGCGUCCGGGUCAAGGAAAGAUUCUCCAGCGGCUCCCGUUACUGGGAGGUGGCUGUGUGGAAGAAACCCUAUUGGUUGAUUGGUCUGUCAUAUGGGUCAGCUACAGGAGAUCAGGAUUCAGAGCAUUGCAAUGGUGACUUUAACAAUGCAUUCUGCUACAUCUAUCAUGGUAAUGGAAAAUAUCUCAUCUGUCAGAACUCAAAUAAAAAGCCACUGGCAGUAAGGAAAACCAUUCAAUAUGUCUAUCUAUGAUGGUGAUUUGCUGGCUUUGCUCCACUCAUUCUGUGUUGAAUUUUCUGGCCCAGUUUAUACCAUCUUUAAUCCCA